rnacentral:snRNA from 1 species
CACCAAAGAUAUCGUACUAAUC